GUGAGGAAUAUUGCGCAAUGGAGGCAACUCUGACGCAGCCAUGCCGCGUGCAGGAAGAAGGCGCUACGCGUUGUAAACUGCUUUUAACCGGGAAGAAACCCCAGGACGUGUCCUGGGUUGACGGUACCGGAGGAAUAAGCACCGGCUAACUUCGUGCCAGCAGCCGCGGUAAUACGAAGGGUGCAAGCGUUAUCCGGAUUCCUUGGGUUUAAAGGGUGCGUAGGCGGAGCGUUAAGUCAGUGGUGAAAUCCUGCAGCUUAACUGUAGACUUGCCAUUGAUACUGGCGCUCUUGAGUGCGCUUGAAGUGGGCGGAAUGUGCCGUGUAGCGGUGAAAUGCUUAGAUAUGGCACAGAACACCAAUUGCGAAGGCAGCUCACUAAGGCGAUACUGACGCUGAGGCACGAAAGCGUGGGGAUCGAACAGGAUUAGAUACCCGUGUAGUCC
rnacentral:rRNA from 1 species